GGUCGGGAAAGCUAAAGGAGUAAGCAACCCUGGGUCUAGCAGUUCCCCCGCUGGGAGAAUUCUAGAAAAGCAUCUUGAUCUGGCUGGCUCCGGGAUCCCCUUCCUCCCUCACCGUGCCAUGUGCGUCCUUCCCAAAGCUAUGCGCUCAGGGGAAAAAGACGACCACCCCAAGGAGGGGGACCAUUUCCUUGGCCAAGGGUAUAGGAGUAGCUGCACUCCUGCCAGGACCUCCAAGUGAGCUCGCAAGACACCCUGCCCCCCACCCUCUCAACCCCCCCCUUUCGGAGGUACUUAUCCCACGUUCUGUCCACUUUCUGAAGCAGUUCUGAAAGUCUGCUUUCCGCG
ensembl:misc_RNA 7SK 7SK RNA